UUAGUGGCGGACGGGUGAGUAACGCGUGAGUAACCUGCCUUACACAAGGGGAUAGCCGUUGGAAACGACGAAUAAUACCCUAUGAAACUAUCACUUCGCAUGAAGCGAUAGUCAAAGUGUUAGCGGUGUAAGAUGGACUUGCGUCUGAUUAGCUAGUUGGUGAGAAAAAAGCCCACCAAGGCAACGAUCAGUAGCCGGCUUGAGAGGGUGAACGGCCACAUUGGAACUGAGAAACGGUCCAA
rnacentral:rRNA from 1 species